CCCUUAGAUGUUCUGGGCCGCACGCGCGCUAAACUGAUGCAUUCAACGAGUCUAAAACCUGCUCUGAUAGGGGUGGGUAAUCUUUUGAAUGUGCAUCGUGAUUGGGAUAGAUGAUUGCAAUUUUUCAUCUUCAACGAGGAAUGCCUAGUAAACGCAAGUCAUCAGCUUGCAUUGAUUACGUCCCUGCCCUUUGUACACACCGCCCGUCGCUCCUACCGAUUGAAUGAUCCGAUGAAUAUCAUGGAUUGAGGAUGCAAGCAGGUUCGCCUGUCUUCAUCUUCGAGAAGUGAAGUAAAUCUUAUCAUUUAGAGGAAGGAGAAGUCGUAACA
rnacentral:rRNA from 1 species